GGGAGCAGACACACAGCGGCCAGGCCUGGUGGUCGAGUGCUGAGAAGGCUUUCAGAAAAAUGAAUGCCAACAUCCAAAGAGGCCUCUACACCAACGUUCAUGCCACAUCAUUCAUACUAGGCAAAACCGGAUACAACCCAAAUGCCCAUCAACAGAGAGACAGUGACAGUGCGUGAGCAGGGGAGGGGCAGAGAGAGACGGAAACACAGAAUCCGAAGCAGGCUCCAGGCUCUGAGGUGUCAGCACAGAGCCCAACGCGGGGCUCAAACUCGUGAACUAUGACAUCAUGACCAGAGCCAAAGUGGGACGCUUGACCAACUGAGCCACCCAGGCGCCCCUCAACAUACAUUUUAAAAACAUAGGCAUUCUUACCAUUGCUCAGAGAGUCCUAUUUAUUUGACUUAGCCACGUAUUUUACCUAUUCAUUGCCCUUCCUUCCUUCCUUCCUUCCUUCCUU